AUUGAACGCUGGCGGCAGGCUUAACACAUGCAAGUCGAGCGGGGUGAUGGUGCUUGCACUAUCACUUAGCGGCGGACGGGUGAGUAAUGCUUAGGAAUCUGCCUAUUAGUGGGGGACAACAUCUCGAAAGGGAUGCUAAUACCGCAUACGUCCUACGGGAGAAAGCAGGGGAUCACUUGUGACCUUGCGCUAAUAGAUGAGCCUAAGUCGGAUUAGCUAGUUGGUGGGGUAAAGGCCUACCAAGGCGACGAUCUGUAGCGGGUCUGAGAGGAUGAUCCGCCACACUGGGACUGAGCAACGGCCCAGACGCCUACGGGAGGCAGCAGUGGGGAAUAGUGGACAAUGGGGGGAACCCUGAUCCAGCCAUGCCGCGUGUGUGAAGAAGGCCUUAUGGUUGUAAAGCACUUUAAGCGAGGAGGAGGCUCUUUUGGUUAAUACCCAAGAUGAGUGGACGUUACUCGCAGAAUAAGCACCGGCUAACUCUGUGCCAGCCGCAGCAGUAA
rnacentral:rRNA from 1 species